UACAGAGGUCUCAAGCGUUUGUUCGGAUUCAUUGGGCGUAAAGAGCGUGUAGGCGGCUUUACAGGUCCGUUGUGAAAACUCGAGGCUCAACCUCGAGACGCCGGUGGAAACCGUAAGGCUAGAGUCCGGAAGAGGAGAGUGGAAUUCCCGGUGUAGUGGUGAAAUGCGUAGAUAUCGGGAGGAACACCAGUGGCGAAGGCGACUUCCUGGCCUGUUCUUGACGCUGAGGCGCGAAAGCUAGGGGAGCAAACGGG
rnacentral:rRNA from 1 species